rnacentral:rRNA from 1 species
UACGGAGGGUGCAAGCGUUAUUCGGAAUUACUGGGCGUAAAGCGCACGUAGGUGGUUUGCUAAGCCAGCUGUGAAAUCCCCGGGCUCAACCUGGGCACUGCAGUUGGAACUGGCAAGCUAGAGUAGGGUAGAGGGGUGUGGAAUUCCAGGUGUAGCGGUGAAAUGCGUAGAUAUCUGGAGGAACAUCAGUGGCGAAGGCGACACCCUGGACUCAUACUGACACUGAGGUGCGAAAGCGUGGGGAGCAAACAGG